UUUAAUAUAUAUAUAUAUAUAUAUAUUCUUAUUUAAUAUUGUUUUUAUGUAUUUUAUUUAUUAAUUAAAAAUUUAUUUAAUUCAUGAAUUUUGUUUAAGUAAAAAAGUUUGAUUUUGGCUUAAUUAAUUGUGUUAUGUUUUUUUUACAUGUAAAUUUUUGUAUGUAUUUAAUAAUUUUUUAAAAAGAUUUUAUUAUAAAAUUUAAUUUAUUUGCAGUAUUUAGUUUUAAUAAUUAAAGAAAUUUAGAAUUAUAAUUCCUUAUAAGUAUAGGUGAAAAAUGUGCCAGCAGCUGCGGUUAUACAUUUUAUGUAAACAAUUAUUAUUUAUUUUAUAUAAUAUAUUUAUAAGUUAAAUUGAAAUUUUUAAAUUAAUUUUAAAUUAGGUGAAAUUAUUUAUUUUAUUUAAAUUAUUAAAAUUAUUUAUAUUUAUUUAUGAAAUCUUAAUAAUAAACUAGGAUUAGAUACCCUACUAUUUAAGAUUUAAAUUAAUUAUAGAGUAUUAAUAGUUAUGUUCUUUAAACUUAAAAAAAUUGGCGGUAUUUAAAACUAAUCAGGGGAACUUGUCUUUUAAUUGAUAAUCCUCAAGAUACCUUACUUUAAUAAUUAAAAUUUAUUUAUUGUCGUUAUCAGAUUAUUUUUUUAGAAAUUUAAAAUUUUCUAUAAUAUAAAUUUAUAUUUAUUUCAGAUCAUUAUGUAGUUUAUGUUAAAGUUAAGAUGAGUUACAAUAAAUUUUAUUUAGAACGAAUUUAAAAUUUGCAAGAAUUUAUUGAAGGUGGACUUGAUAGUAAAAAAUAAUUAUAAAAUAUUUUUGAAUUUAGAAUUAAAUAUGUACAUAUCGCCCGUCACUCUCGUUUUAAGAUGAGAUAAGUCGUAACAAAGUAGAUGUAUUGGAAAAUGUAUCUAGAAAGUUUUAUAAUUUAGUU
rnacentral:ncRNA from 1 species